AUCGAAGUCGGGGUCUGUUUCCUGCAAGGCAAGCACAGGCACGAGAGUCAUGUGCUCAAACCGAAGCUAUACAUAAACGGAGGAGGCAAUCCAGCUAGGCAUCUUCCUGUGGCAAGUACAUGUUCACUGAAGUUCGCUGAAAAUGUCUCCACCUUCCAGAGCUGUGUCAAGACAGUGGGAAUAAAAACGGGUGAAGUCAAGGAAGUGGUGAAACUACAGAGGAUGGAGAAUUGUCUGAAAUUACCCUCCCAGAGCUGCUUGUCAAAAUAAGCGGAUUCCACGUAAUGUGAUGCCCGACCGGGGAGCUCUGAUGAGCCGUCUCAGCCACAGCCUCAGUCACUGGCUUUCUCACUUGGGCCCCACAGGCCAAGGGCCCAACCCGGACACACU